rnacentral:rRNA from 1 species
UACGUAGGGUGCAAGCGUUAAUCGGAAUUACUGGGCGUAAAGCGUGCGCAGGCGGUUAUGUAAGACAGGUGUGAAAUCCCCGGGCUUAACCUGGGAACUGCAUUUGUGACUGCAUAGCUAGAGUACGGUAGAGGGGGAUGGAAUUCCGCGUGUAGCAGUGAAAUGCGUAGAUAUGCGGAGGAACACCGAUGGCGAAGGCAAUCCCCUGGACGGUAACUGACGCUGAGACGCGAAAGCGUGGGGAGCAAACAGG